rnacentral:rRNA from 1 species
AACGAACGCUGGCGGCAUGCCUAACACAUGCAAGUCGAACGAGACCUUCGUGUCUAGUGGCGCACGGGUGCGUACCGCGUGGGAACCUGCCCUUAGGUUCGGAAUAACUGCCCGAAGGGGGUGCUAAUACCGGUUAAUGUCUUCGGACCUAGGAUUUAUCGCCUUUGGAUGGGCGCGCGUUAGAUUAGCUAGUUGGUAGGGUAAAAGCCUACCAAGGCGACGAUCCAUGGCUGGUCUGAGAGGAGGAUCAGCCACAAUGGGACUGAGACACGGCCCAGACUCCGACGGGAGGCAGCAGUAGGGAAUACUGGACAAUGGGGGAAAGCCUGAUCAAGCAACGCGGCGGGAGUGAUGAAGGCCGUAGGGUUGUAAAGCUCUUUUACACGGGAUGAUAAUGACAGUACCGGGAGAAUAAGCACCGGCUAACUCCGUG